AACGAACGCUGGCGGUAUGCCUAACACAUGCAAGUCGAACGACACCUCCGGGAAUACUGGCGCUUGCGUGUGUAACGUGUCGGACGCUGCCGUUAUGCUUGGAAUACUACUUUGUCGUGGGUGCUAAUAUCGGAUAACGUCCUCUGAUCCCAGAUUCAUCCACUUUGGAAGAGCACGCGUUGUAUUAGCUAGUCGGUAGGGUAAAAGCCUACCACGGCGACGAUCCAUAGCUGGUUUGAGAGGAUGAUCAGCGACACUGGGACUGUGACACGGCCCAGACUCCUACAGGAGGCAGCAGUGGGGAAUAUUGGAAUAUGGGCGAGGGCCUGAUCCAGCAAUGCCGGGUGAGUGAUGAAGGCCUUAGAGUUAUGAAGCACGUUUACCCGGGGUGAUAAUGACAGUACCGGAAGAAUAAGCACCGGCUAACUCCGUG
rnacentral:rRNA from 1 species